UAUAUCUGUAAUUUUGCAGUAUAUGGCUCAAAUCAACUGUAUUAAAGCAAGUGAGGAUGAAGACACAGAUGAGUUGCUCUGCACAGUCCAUGCAGAUAAAGAAGCCCAUUUCUGUGCCUCUUUGCCUCGGGAUCAGUGUGAUCUCUUGCUGGACGCCAUUGAUGCCCAUCUUAGUCGUAUGCAGACACAUAGACAUGACCAAGGGAAAAUUUGGAGCUACAAGAGAGAAGAGUUCAUUAAAUCAGCUCCCCUUACCAAGAGUCAAUGUCUUAGCAAAGAUACUGGCCUGGGAGGCAACAGUCCACACAAUGACAAAGAUGCAUCUUGCCUCAGUAUGUCCUCAAAGACUCAAGAAGUGUGUUCAACCAGUAGAGAGGGAGAUCUCCGAGGGCAGGUGGAGAAAGGUCUGGUGUCCCCCGGAAAGGAUGAGGCGGAGUCCAGGACUGAACAGUGUCUCUGGAGGCUGGAGAGGUUGCUGGGCAGGGCUGAAGGAGGGGUGGCAGCUCAACAGCCCGUCACAGACAGCAUCUGCACAGAGGAAUUCUCCAAGCGCUUCAAAGAGGACAUGGUGGACGUGGCAGAAAACAGCCAGCCUCGGUCCUCUAGAUGCAGGCUUGACAUCCUGGCUGUAGACACUCCCAGCAUCAGAAGUGAAACAGACUCUGUUGCUAAGGACAGCAGACAUCUUCCUCCCCGAACAGCUGUCAGGCACCUGGCUGGAGUACCAGUGCAGAGUUUUGAUGCGGUCACCGUAGACAGUGAACUGGAGUCUGUGCAGACUGAGCGAAUCCGACUGCACCUACAUGACGCCCUAAACAACAGGAUGGGAUCUCAUUCCGACUGGAAGAACUGUAGAGACCGUGCUUCUUGUGGAAGUCAGCACACUAAAAAGCAUCGCUACAGUAAAAAGGCAUACAGUUCUGCCGAUGAAACAGAAAACAGUGAGGAUUGCCACAUCUCGAAAAAUCCCAAUGCAAGACCAAGACGUUCCAACAGCACCCUUCAGAGGAGACCAAGGACAAGCAGGGACAGGCGGCUCUUGGAAGAAACCCUUCUUGCUCUCAGAAAGGACUGUGAGAAAGAGGAGAAGACGUUGAAACAGAAACAAGCUGAAAUGUGUGAGACUGAACGCUCCCUGACUGCCCUCCUUCAGCAAAAACAGCAUGUGGUGCAGCAGUUGGACUUGAUCAGGACUGAGGUGGAGCAGCUCCAGCUCUGCAUGAGAGGAAAUGUGGUCCAGGCUGAGGGCAGCAGACAUGAGCUACAGAGGCUACAGUCUCAGAGGAACUCCUGCACGUUGGAAGUUGGGGCUCUGCAGGAGGAACUGGUCGUGCUGCAACAAUGCAGAAAGCUCCUACAGGACCGAGCAGAUGCUGAGAAGAUUCUGAACAAUGCUCAUCUCGAGGUGCAGCAGAGUAAGGAUGAAGUGAAAAAUCUCCAGGAGAGGUUUAGAGAGACCAUAAGACAGAAAGCAGAGCAGGAGGAGUUCUUACAGAGUGAAUUGAAGAAGAAGGAAGACAAAUUAGGGGCUCUCGAGCGGAUUGUGGCCCAAAAGGAAGUGAUAAUGCUGGCGCUGCAGGAAGAAAAGAACUCCCUCCACCUUAUGGUUGCUUCACAGAAAGACGAGCAUCAAACUGAGUUGUCAGAAGUUCAGGAACAAGCACUGAGAGAAAAGGAGGAAGAGCUGGAACAGCUGAGGUCAGCGUCAGCUCUCUCCCAUGAGAAGGAACUGAAACAGGUUAAAGACCAGGCAGAGGAGAUGAGAUCAGCAGCUCUGAGAGAACACGUCCUGCUCAUUGACUGCCUUCAAAAGAGCAUCCAGAUGAAGGAUGCAGAACUCCAGCGUGUGCUGGAACAGCAAAAUGAGGUGAUGGGGAGGCGUGAGGUGGACCUCAGAACAGAGAUGCAAGGAAUGGUGCUGCAGCAGGAACUGGAGAGGUGGGAGAUGCAGAAGGAGGCUGAGCUCCAGGAGCAGCGUGAGAAGAUGAGGGAGGAGCUUCUGAAGCAGCAGAAACAGAGCCUGGUUACGCUGCAGGACAAAGUGGCUGAACUACAAAAAGUGCAUCAGAGAGAGGUUGUAAAUCUGAAUCAGAAACUGCAGCACGUACAGGAAGAACACAGGGCCCUGCAGGAUCUGUUGGCAGAUAGAGAGCGUGUCCAUCAGGGGGCAACAGAAAGUCAGGAGCAGCAGCACAGGCACUGGGCACAGGAACUGGAGGCUGAAUUCCACGCACUGCAAGUCAUGCUGGGAAAUGCAGACCACACGACGAUUUCAACUCAUCUACUCAGGAUCGGGAGCACCUCUACAAUUGACCAGGCCGUGCAGGCUCUGAAGGUCAUCAGGCAGCAGCUCCAACAAUUCAUCAUUAGUCUGCAGCAGGAGCUGGACUCCCAGAAGCGAACCUUUCAGCAGCUGACCAGAGACAGGGAAGUUCAGCUGCAGCUUCAGGAAGAGCAGAUGCUUGCAGAAAAGCAGAGGGCACUGGAUGCACUGCAGGAGCGUCUCGUCCAGGAGCACAUCGAAGAGCUGAGCAGCUUUAGCCGAGCGCGGAUGAACAGGCUUGUGGAUGCAGAGGAGGGCGUGGUCCCCUCUCUGCGCAGGCAGCUUCAGGCUAAAGACGAGGAGUUGCGACAGGUGCAGAGGAGCAUGGGACAGUGGAAGGAAAGGACUACUGAGCGCCUGGCACGCAAGCUUGAGGAAGAGCUCAUGUCCCAGCUGGAAAAGAGCGAACGAGUUGAGUCAGCCAAUGAGAAAAAACCACAGCGUCUGGAGUCGGAGAUGAGGAGACUCACGACGAAGGCCAUCGAGAGUGGGGGUCUACGUUCAGCCUCCUCCCCAGCCUUGCUUGUGAGUGAUCCUCCUGAAACGCCUAGGAUCCAGGAACUGGCCUCAUAUAAGGUGCUGCGCCACCUUCAGAGCCGCAUCCGCCAGCUCCAUACGGACACCCAAAUUCACAGGCACAGUCCCUCACAUCAGCGUCCGGGCUCAGGAGAACUUUCCGGGUCCUAUCUGGAAUUGAUCGUCCCUGUACAAGAAAGACAAUGCCCCGGGAGUCACUCUGGAGGACGGAAGAACUUGUCCAACGGAGGAACAAAAGCAGAAACUCAGUACAAUAUUAAUUACAGUAGAGGCACCGCUGGGUCCCACUGCACGUGAGGACUGAACUUCAAGGGUAAAUGUCCCCGUGGCCACGGGGACACUGCAGCCAGAAGCAGCGUGCUCAGCAAUUAGGUUUUACUGCUGGUCUAAAGGUUAAGCUGAGCUAUGGGCUAAACCAUGUCACCAUGACCUUGUAAAGCUAUGGUCAUAGUAAAUAUGUCACUUUGCUGUUAUAUGCAGAGAGGUGACAAAUGAAAGGAAAACAUUUUGUGUUUGUAUGUAGUAUGUUUGAGGGACUGGAGGGAUGGAUACCAUUCUACUGAAAUAUAUUUUUUCCUUUGUUAUUUGCUGUUAUGAUGGUGCUGGAGAAGCUGAAGAAGAUCACUGGGUUAAGACCAGUAUGAUUUACAUCCUUUUCAGACUCCUAUCAGCCUUUCAGUAAUGCUUGUCUCAUGGAUGGAGGUAUCAUCAUCCUGGAUGACACUCCUCCCAGCGCAGUAAAAAUGUAUUAUCAGUCAAUAAAAUUCCUGUAGAUUUACUGUAACGUCCCCA
ensembl:lncRNA trichohyalin-like